rnacentral:rRNA from 1 species
UACGUAGGGGGCAAGCGUUGUCCGGAUUUAUUGGGCGUAAAGAGCGUGUAGGCGGUCUGGUAGGUCCGUUGUGAAAACUCGAGGCUCAACCUCGAGACGCCGAUGGAAACCAUCAGACUAGAGUCCGGAAGAGGAGAGUGGAAUUCCUGGUGUAGCGGUGAAAUGCGCAGAUAUCAGGAAGAACACCCGUGGCUAAGGCGGCUCUCUAGUACGUGACUGACGCUGAGACGCGAAAGCGUGGGGAGCAAACAGG